GAUACAUGUCAGUCUGCAGUCUACUUGCUAAUGAUGUCAGAAGAUAAGCGAUGAAAACCUCAUUUGGAAAAAAAAAAGUUUUGGAAGUUCCACCAAGAUGCCCGAUGGAUUCACCUGACAGAACCAGAAAUAAGAACAGAUAUAAACCGAAUAUUCCUCAUUUCAGAAAAUAAGGAAGUAUGUCAGCUUGAAGAUGAUUGGUAAGGGGCUUAGGUAACGUAAAGCUUUGGACUGACACUAAAUUGAGUUAAUGGAUAUUUAUUGGAUGUUCAGACCAUUUCUAAUCUGAAACACUCAUUGCUAAACAUCAUUUUAAGUGUAUAUAUUUUUGCUUCUUGGUUUUUGUUUUGUAAUGACAGCUGACAUGUAUUGAGUGCAUAGUUCUAUAACAUUUAUGAGAAUUAUUUCAUUCAAUCCUCAAAAUAACCUUCUGAAACUGGAACUAUUAGUCUUCUACUUUUUAACUUGCCCAAGGUCACCUAGUUAGUAAGAAGCAGAG